CAAAUUUUAGGGUUAGUCUUUAAGUCUUUGUACAAAAGUAUUGAGAAACAUGUUUUUAUCACCUACUUCAUGUGUGAUCCACACUAAACCAAAGCCAUAA